rnacentral:lncRNA from 1 species
CUGCAGCUAUUUAUUCAUGCCCAGGAUCUGCACACCCUCAAGAAGGUUUGGAGACGGUAGCCCAGAUCAAGACUCAUGUAGCCCCACUGGAAGCCAUUGCCCUGGAAAAUCACCUGGUGCUCUCGGCAGGCAUGCAUGCCAAUGGAGGAUGAGGGAUAGGGCCCCAAUCACCCUGGAAGUGGCCAAUCACAUGCUUAGAGGUAAAGUCCAUGGUUCACUGGCCUGUGCUUGGAAAGUCAUCAGGCUCUCAAGGUUACCAAAAAGGAGGAGGAGGACAGGGAGGAAGGCAGGGGGAGAUGACAGCCAGGCCAAGCAGCAGAUGCAGUGCAAAUGUCACUUCAUCAGUGUUGUGUCUAGC